rnacentral:rRNA from 1 species
UACGAAGGGGGCUAGCGUUGCUCGGAAUCACUGGGCGUAAAGCGCACGUAGGCGGAUCUUUAAGUCAGGGGUGAAAUCCUGGAGCUCAACUCCAGAACUGCCUUUGAUACUGGGGAUCUCGAGUCCGGGAGAGGUGAGUGGAACUGCGAGUGUAGAGGUGAAAUUCGUAGAUAUUCGCAAGAACACCAGUGGCGAAGGCGGCUCACUGGCCCGGUACUGACGCUGAGGUGCGAAAGCGUGGGGAGCAAAGCAGG